AUUUCUACUAACUUAAAGCAAAGAAUGGGUUGGAAUAUUUAAAAAAGCCUAAGCAUAAACAGAUUCAACUGACAUAAUAAUGAAAUUUUUGGAUGAAGUGACAUUCCUGUCAUGUAGGUCCUGUUGACAACAAUGCAGUCACUUGCAAUAUUGUGGUCAAAGGGAGGGGCAUUGAUAGGAUAUACAGGUAGUUGUUAGCAUCAUACAAUGACCAUAUACAGAAAGUCCAGAAUAGAGGUUGAGCUGUUUUGAAUGCGCUGUGCUUGCCCCGUAUGACCAAGGUUUUGUUGACAGCAGGCAGGUUUUGACACCAACGACCCGACUGAUGAAGGGCACCGUGACACGAUAGCUGGGCACAACUAUAGCACGUGGCACAUGGACAAAGCAUUUAGCAUGCCUUCUGCUCCAAACAAAGCGGCAAUCUUUGCAUCCCAAAAUAGCUUCAAGAGAAACAACCUUCAAAGCAGUGUUGGAAGAAGAGAUCGCCAAAAGUCCUGUAGCAGGAUGAGAUCAUGGCAGCAAGCUAAGAGUGCGAGCACCACACAGUACUGCUACAGCCAAGAGAUCACCAAGAGAAAGAAAAAAGGGGGACUACUGGUGGCUAUAGCAUGACCACAACCAUUCACACCAGAGUCUACACCAUCUCAGCAAGUUGGCGCCUGUCACCAAUACAGUGAGGGUUGGCUGUCUGGAACACACUGUUCUUUCUCUGUAUGUAGCAUCUAUUUGCAGGGCUGGUUGCCUAACCAUGAUAUAGCCUUAGCUGCUGAGUAAAACACCAAUCCCCCCUCCCCUGGCUGAGACUGGCUCAUCUGACUUCUGCUGGCUGUAACACAGUUUCAGAAUGUAAAGCUUGAGGAUAAAUACUGCAGUCUUCACACAUGUAGUGUGCGACCUUCUGCGGAUUAAAAAAUAUUAAUUAUACAAGGGGACUCAAAAGAUCAAUGCACACCUUCCAGACAUUGGCCUUCCUCGACUAAACAUGGAAGGAACUGCGAACUGCAGAACUCCCUAACUUACCUGUCCCAAUGAAUGCUUUAAUCCUCCACUAAAACCUUACUCUCAAAAUAUUUCUUGCCAUAAUACAGACUUUGCAAACAUGUGUAUCCAGAAUAAUUUGUACAUAUAGUACAUACACAAUAGCUCAUCAGCAUCCACAGUACAAAGCAAGCAAAGCAUUCUUCACACCUUUUGCAAUGUAUGUUUAUUUUUUUUAAAUCCCCAUGAUUAUUGCAUUGGAUUUUCAUUUGAAAAUUCAGAACUGCUUUAAGAGAACUUAAAACAAAAAACAAAAUAACCCCCAAACUGAUACUGAUUCUCUAGUGUUUCAGUACAUCAGAAGCUGGUGUCACUAGCAACACAGAAACUGGGAAGUUGUGCACCCAUUUUACUUGAUUAUUGUCUGUACCCAUAAUCCACUUGUCUCUCUCUUUAGCAGGCCUGUAAGUCUUUCAUCUUCUGAAUGCAAGGGAAUAGAUCAAUGACUCUUCAUUCAUUUUAUUACCUGUGAUCAAAGACUUUCAAAGCUUUAGUGAACAAUUUAAAAAAAAAAAGCCUGAUACUCUCUUAGAUAUCUGUUCAAUCCUGCUCUAUCACAGUCCAUCUGUUAAACCAAAGACACAAGAUAAAUCAAAUGUGUGGUAUAAGCAUGACUGUAAUAGGUAUACAGCGCAAAUCAGUGAAGAAAUACGAGAACCAGAGAUAUAUAUGUACAGGGAUGUCUGAUAAACUAGAGGCAUGUGUACAGGCAUAUCUGAUGAACCAGAGAUACAAUAAUCCCUUGCUAUAUCGUGGUUCACUUAUUGCAGCUUUACUGUAUCAUAAUUUUAAAAAAAUGUAUAUAAUUCUGUGUUGCAGAGUUUUUGCUAUAUCAUGGGAUUUUGCAGUAUAUAAGUAUUUAUAUAAUAUUUUUUAUUUUAAUCAUUCAAGUUGUAGCAUGCUUCAUUGGUGAGUAUCUAUAAAAAAUUGUAUAUGUUGUUAAAAUUACAUAGGUUUAAGACUGUAGAAAGUGUUUUAGAGCAUAAGAAGUGUUUAAUGCCUUAAAAUAUAUAUAUAAAAUAGAAUAAAUAUAAUGUCACAACUUGUGGAUUUUCACUUAUCACAGGGGACUCUGGGACGUAACCCCUGCGAUAGGUGAGGGAUCACUGAAUGCAAUUAAAGUAUGACACAUGAAUCAGUCAAAUGUCUCACUGAGAUAUACAUGUAGCUGCUUGUAUUUGUAAAAUUAAAAUAAAGGGAAAAUCC